UUCCCCGGCGAAGCGACAACGCUGGUCGGCGCAGAGCUUGGUGGAGCACGGCCGCGGCGCGCCGCGGCGCUUCCAAGCUUGGGUCCCAGUGUAAACGCUACCGACUUGCAAACCCUUUCGUUCCUCCAGUUGUCCCCGUGGAUCCCCCGAUCCGGUCGUCGCCCGUGCCCCCAGCACCUUACCCCGUCCACCCGGACGCGCGAGUGAAAUGUGAGCGGACCCCCUGUGCGUCAUCUUCGCGCCCGCCGGGACACGAGUGAGUUUCCUCCGUCAAUAUUUGAUCGUCGUGCCUUUGUUUACCUUCCUCGGCUUGACCGUUUGUUUGCACCGCGCGCCGCGAUUCCCCCGUUUCGGCCCCGUGUGAAGUGCCAAAUUCCUUGUGUAAACAUUGUGCGUGACAGUUUUGUGUGCUCUCGUCAUACGCCCGUUCAGGAUAACUAUGCAAUAGAUGAUAUAUUAAAAGUUAAAGAUGGUGCUCACUAUUGAUACUAACGAAGGCGCUCCAAUGAUGAGUGACUGCAGUCGGUCCCGUUACCUGAAAGGAAUGGACCUGUGUACUCGAAAUUACCCUAGAUGUUUUGAUCUUCCACAAUCGUCACCCCUCAGUCUAACUCCUCAGCCAUCCGACUCGGAAGGAGAUGAGAUGGAUGUUGACUACGGAAAAAAGCUUGCUCAACCAAUCAUGUCGGCGACCCCACCGCACUCACCGACCUCCUGCGAGGCCAAAGUGACGUCAGUGCCCGUUUCCGUCAUCAUGCGAGCCCACAAGGACGGGAGCUGCUCUCCAGAGCCCUCCUCGCCGGACCCGGAGCAGCAUUCGCCCCUCAACUGCAGCUACGCCUCCUCUUUCGCCUCCGGAGGGGGCCCUGAUUUCAGUCCCCGCUCCAGUCCGGGCCUCUUUAAGCCGAGCCAAAUCAUCUGGAGAUCAACCCGCUCAAAAGCAUCCGUUACAAAAUGA
rnacentral:lncRNA from 1 species